rnacentral:rRNA from 1 species
UACGAAGGGGGCUAGCGUUGCUCGGAAUCACUGGGCGUAAAGCGCACGUAGGCGGCUUUCUAAGUCAGGGGUGAAAUCCUGGAGCUCAACUCCAGAACUGCCUUUGAUACUGGAAAGCCUGAGUUCGGGAGAGGUGAGUGGAACUGCGAGUGUAGAGGUGAAAUUCGUAGAUAUUCGCAAGAACACCAGUGGCGAAGGCGGCUCACUGGCCCGAUACUGACGCUGAGGUGCGAAAGCGUGGGGAGCAAACAGG